UGGGGAAUCUUCCACAAUGGGCGAAAGCCUGAUGGAGCAACGCCGCGUGUGUGAUGAAGGGUUUCGGCUCGUAAAACACUGUUGUAAGAGAAGAAUGACAUUGAGAGUAACUGUUCAAUGUGUGACGGUAUCUUACCAGAAAGGAACGGCUAAAUACGUGUCAG
rnacentral:rRNA from 1 species